rnacentral:rRNA from 1 species
UGAGUUUGAUCAUGGCUCAGAUUGAACGCUGGCGGCAUGCCUUACACAUGCAAGUCGAACGGUAACAGGUCUUCGGAUGCUGACGAGUGGCGAACGGGUGAGUAAUACAUCGGAACGUGCCCGAUCGUGGGGGAUAACGAGGCGAAAGCUUUGCUAAUACCGCAUACGAUCUACGGAUGAAAGCGGGGGAUCUUCGGACCUCGCGCGGACGGAGCGGCCGAUGGCAGAUUAGGUAGUUGGUGGGAUAAAAGCUUACCAAGCCGACGAUCUGUAGCUGAUCUGAGAGGAUGAUCAGCCACACUGGGACUGAGACACGGCCAAGACUCCUACGGGAGGCAGCAGUGGGGAAUUUUGGACAAUGGGCGAAAGCCUGAUCCAGCCAUGCCGCGUGCAGGAUGAAGGCCUUCGGGUUGUAAACUGCUUUUGUACGGAACGAAAAGCCUCUUUCUAAUAA